rnacentral:lncRNA from 1 species
GAUGCUGUAGCUGAUAGAGUCGGAGUGCCCGAUCUUUCGGUGAGUUGAGAUAAAUUCGACUUGGUGGAAGUAGACCCUCACGAUCCGACUACGACGAGCGAACCCGAAGCGCCAAUGCAAUCGCUGAACCAACUCCCUGUGGUUACCAACCUUGCCAGCGCAAGAUAAGCCUGAUCACGAAGAUCGAUUCCUGUCCGCAAUCGAAGAACGAACAAGAAAAAGAGGCGAGCAAUCUAAAUAUCACUCGAAGGUGGAGUUCUGAAUCACACAAGGACAGCGCGUAUUUGCGCGUGUUCGAGAGUAGGUAAAGCUAGAUGUAAAACAAAACUCAAGUUGUAAACAAAAGGGACUCCGACUAAAUAAAGGGGGCGCAGCCCCUGGAGUCCGGAGGAGGUGCCACAGCAGGAGGGGGGGCGCGUGACCAGGGGGAGGGCCGCAGCUCCCAACCCUAGGCGCCCCACCUGGGCUGCCCUGUUGGGCUAUCUUCUUAUUCCGCUAGGCCUUCAUUCCUUAACAGCAUGAUGAAGUUUAAUUCUCUCGCACGGGUCUGAGUGAUUGGCCCAACUGGAUGAUCAACUGUAGGCGCCUGGGGUGGAGGAGCAACUGGAGGCGCCUGAGGUGUUGCUGGUGUAGAUGUACUCGUGGUGUCCUCAUCAUCCUCCCCUUCUUGAACUGAAGUCAUCCUCGACGGCAACUCCUCAUCUUCGCCCGCAUACGGUUUCAAAUCUGCAACAUUAAAACUCAUGGAAACACCAAACUCCGCAGGCAGGUCAAGGAUAUAAGCAUUAUCAUUAAUCUUGGUUAGCACUUUAAAAGGACCAGCAGCACGUGGCAUCAAUUUAGAACGACGUAAAGUAGGAAAAUGAUCCUUUCUCAAAUGCAACCAAACCAGAUCACCCGGUGCAAAAGUAACAUGUUUUCUCCCUUUACUACCCGCAACCUGAUAUUUAGCAUUAGCAGUAGCAAUGUUUUGUUGAGUUUGCUCAUGCAAGCUAAUAAUUUGAUCAACAUGUGCAGCGGCAUCUAGGUGUGGGGCAUCCUCAGCAUCAAGUGCAAACAAAUCAAUAGGCGCCCAAGGAAUAUAACCAUAAACAACCUGAAAGGGACACAUCUUUGUAGAAGAAUGCGUUGCAUGAUUAUAAGCAAACUCAACAUGAGGCAAGCAAUCUUCCCAACGUUUCAAGUGUUUAUCUAAAACAGCCCGAAGCAUGGUUGACAAAGUUCGAUUAACCACCUCAGUUUGUCCAUCAGUCUGAGGGUGACAAGUGGUGCUAAACAGCAAUUUAGUUCCCAUUUUAUUCCACAGUGAUCUCCAAAAAUGACUGAGAAACUUAGCAUCACGAUCAGAGACUAUUGUAUUUGGAAUACCAUGCAAACGAAUAAUCUCGCGAAAGAACAAUUCAGCAACAUUGGUAGCAUCAUCAGUCUUAUGACAAAGUAUAAAAUGAGCAUUUUGGAGAAACGAUCAACAACCACAAAAAUACUGUCCCUCCCCUUGUUAGUUCUAGGCAAUCCCAAAACAAAGUCCAUAGAAAUAUCAAGCCAAGGGGAAGUAGGAACAGGCAAAGGCAUGUACAAACCAUGGUGGUUACCACUUGAUAGAGUCGGAGUGCCCGAUCUUUCGGUGAGUUGACUUAAAUUCGACUUGGUGGAAGUAGACCCUCACGAUCCGACUACGACGAGCGAACCCGAAGCGCCAAUGCAAUCGCUGAACCAACUCCCUGUGGUUACCAACCUUGCCAGCGUAAGAUCAGCUUGAUCACGAAGAUCGAUUCCUGUCCGCAAUCGAAGAACGAACAAGAAAAAGAGGCGAGCAAUCUAAAUAUCACUCGAAGGUGGAGUUCUGAAUCACAUAAGGACAGCGCGUAUUUGCGCGUGUUCGAGAGUAGCUAAAGCUAGAUGUAAAACAAAACUCAAGUUGUAAACAAAAGGGACUCCGACUAAAUAAAGGGGGCGCAGCCCCUGGAGUCCGGAGGAGGUGCCACGGCAGGAGGGGGGGCGUGCGACCAGGGGGAGGGCCGCGGCUCCCAACCCUAGGCGCCCCACCUGGGCUGCCCUGUUGGGCCAUCUUCUUAUUCCGCUGGGCCUUCGUUCCUUAACAGCAUGAUGAAGUUUAAUUCUAUCGCAUGGGCCCGAGUGAUUGGCCCAACUGGAUGGUCAACUGUAGGCGCCUGGGGUGGAGGAGCAACUAGAGGCGCCUGAGGUGCUGCUGGUGUAGAUGUACUGUGGUGUCC